rnacentral:rRNA from 1 species
AGGCUGUACGCGGCUGUGCUCUCGGGCCAGUUUUGCGGAGGCUGAAUUAUUUAUUACCCUUGUCUUUUGCGCACUUGUUGUUUCCUGGGCGGGUUCGCCCGCCACCAGGACCACAUCAUAAACCUUUUUUAUGCAGUUGCAAUCAGCGUCAGUAUAACAAAUGUAAAUCAUUUACAACUUUCAACAACGGAUCUCUUGGUUCUGGCAUCGAUGAAGAACGCAGCGAAAUGCGAUACGUAGUGUGAAUUGCAGAAUUCAGUGAAUCAUCGAAUCUUUGAACGCACAUUGCGCCCUUUGGUAUUCCAAAGGGCAUGCCUGUUCGAGCGUCAUUUGUACCCUCAAGCUUUGCUUGGUGUUGGGCGUUUUUUGUCUUUGGUUGCCAAAGACUCGCCUUAAAAGGAUUGGCAGCCGGCCUACUGGUUUCGCAGCGCAGCACAUUUUUGCGCUUGCAAUCAGCAAAAGAGGACGGCAAUCCAUCAAGACUCCUUCUCACGUUUGACCUCGGAUCAGGUAGGGAUACCCGCUGAACUUAAGCAUAUCAA